rfam:Clostridium sp. CAG:273 genomic scaffold, scf54
GACUGUGUUUUAGCGCCUGGACAGAGCUUUUCUGUUGACGAGGUUAGGAUUUAUCGAAAGACUCGGCGGAUGGUCCUAUGGCAUGUUACUGCCAUUAAAUAUUAGACAAAAAAUUAUAGUAAUAUAAUAUAACAAAUCUAAUAGGGUAACUUAA